GACAACGAAAGAACUAUGUAAAGGAAGUAAGCAGAUAAAGGCUUGAAAAUUACACAAUUCUUUUGUUAGCUGUUUCUUAUUACGACAAUUGCUAUUAAUUAUGUAGAGAAAUUAUCAAUAUAUAUGAUGCUAAACAAGAUUUAAGUUAAACAUCCGUGCUAGAAGCUAGAUGAACAAAAAAGAACAGAAAAGGAAGAGUGGAAAAGACAGAUGGAAACAGAUAAGACCAAACAGAAUUUACAGGCAUAUUUAAUUCAUAAGCGUUGUGUUCAUUUGGUGAUCACUUAUUUAAUGCUCUAUUACUCAUUGAUUGUUUAGGAUGCUAACCAACUGAAUAGUUUCUUUUUGCCGCCUUUGUUAUAAAGAAAUCUGCAGUUAAUCUUAUCUGCUUAAAAUACUCGGGGCCUCUACAUUCUUAUUGUUGUUGUUUUUUAAUUACACAAACCACCAUGGAUAAAUAGUGCGAGAAAAUAGCUCUGCUACAGUUUUUGCAGAAUUUAUUUAUUGCCAUGGGGCUGGGAUGAGUGCUCUGGCGGUACAAGGAAAUUCGGAACUAAACAAAACGCUCAAGUAAAAUUCAGAAAAUGGUAAGGGAAUGAUAUAUUGCUUUGCUUGGUGUGUAGGUAUGUGGUUUUUAAAAACCUGGCAUUCAACGAUUACAAGAGCGCUGCAACAAAGAGGGAGUAUGCAUCCACAAGGAAUCAUUGUAGUUUAAGGACGAGGACAUCCGGCUACUCCUUGCUAAUGACUUUGACAUUAGUUCGAGAUCUUGUUUGUAAUCUAUGAAAUGUAUUUGUCACCUUUUAAAGAAAAGAAAAAAUCAUCCAUGGAAUGGAACCUUAUUCUGAAGGCAAAACUCUUAAUAGCCACAGCAUAUCUCGAAUUGGGGGAAUCUUAACCAGGAUCAUUUAACUUAGUGGGAAGACAAGGAAAACUAAGUUAUGUAGCAACAUUGCAUAAAAACAAACAAUAAAUGCAGCAUGG